rnacentral:rRNA from 1 species
UACGGAGGGGGCUAGCGUUGUUCGGAAUUACUGGGCGUAAAGCGCACGUAGGCGGCUUGUAAGUUAGAGGUGAAAGCCCAGGGCUUAACCCUGGAAUUGCCUUUAAGACUGCAUCGCUAGAAUCGUGGAGAGGUGAGUGGAAUUCCGAAGUGUAGAGGUGAAAUUCGUAGAUAUUCGGAAGGAACACCAGUGGCGAAGGCGGCUCCACUGGC